UUUAAAUAAAUGUAUAGCUUGAAUUUUGUUCCAUUUUUAUUCUUGAUUCCCAAAGAGAGAAAAGCUGCUUAUUUUUCUCAUGAUUAGCCAUAUUAUUAUACAUUCUAAAUUUCCAAUGUAGGACCUAAAGUAGUUUAUGAAUGGAUGAAGAUUUACAGUGUUAUACUACUUCAUUGACUGAAACUUUUAUGCAGCCCAACUGUAUAAUUCUAG
rnacentral:misc_RNA from 1 species